AUGUGUCAGGAUUUCCAUGAGGGCAACCUUGAUAUCACCAGCAUUAGUGAGGGGUUUAUUACCCUGAUACCAAAGACAUUAUCUCCUGAAACUGCCAAUGACUAUAGGCCUAUAACCCUGCUGAAUUGUUGUCUGAAAAUUGUCACCAAAAUCUUGGCCAACCGUCUGCAGAAAGUUAUCUUGAAGAUCAUCCAUAGGAACCAAUACGGUUUCAUCAAGGGGAGAACCAUCCAGGACUGCCUUGCUUGGUCGUUUGAAUACAUCCACCAAUGCCAGAGGUCGUCGCGUGAGAUUAUGCUGCUCAGCCUCGACUUCGCCAAAGCCUUUGACACCAUCGAACAUACCCCUAUGAUGGAGAUCAUGAGACACAUGGGUUUUGAUGAAAAGUGGUUGGGUUGGAUGGAAACUAUUUUUGGUUCUGGUGUGUGUUCGGUCUUACUAAAUGGGGUUCCUGGCAGAAAAUUUCAGUGUAAAUGCGGGGUACGGCAAGGCGACCCCCUCUCUCCUUUGAUUUUUGUCCUCGCUGCUGAUCUUCUCCAAGCCGCGGUCAAUGACGCUUUUGCUCGUGGAUUGAUUGAACUGCCCAUCCCAUGCAAUUGCAACAGGGAUUAUCCGGUGGUGCAUUACGCGGACGAUACCAUUCUGGUGAUGCCAGCCUGCCCUGAUCAAGUUACCCUCAUGGAAACAAUCCUUGCGGAUUAUGUAGCAUCGGUCGGUCUGAAAAUCAAUUUUCACAAGUCCACACCUGUACCCAUUAACCUUGAUCUGCAGCGCGCGCUGGACCUGGCACAUAUCUUCGGCUGCUCGGUUGGCUCAAUGUCGUUCACAUAUCUUCGGUCAAUUUGA
rnacentral:rRNA from 1 species